rnacentral:rRNA from 1 species
GUGCCAGCAGCCGCGGUAAUACGUAGGUGGCAAGCGUUAUCCGGAAUUAUUGGGCGUAAAGCGCACGUAGGCGGUUUUUUAAGUCUGAUGUGAAAGCCCACGGCUCAACCGUGGAGGGUCAUUGGAAACUGGAAAACUUGAGUGCAGAAGAGGAAAGUGGAAUUCCAUGUGUAGCGGUGAAAUGCGCAGAGAUAUGGAGGAACACCAGUGGCGAAGGCGACUUUCUGGUCUGUAACUGACGCUGAUGUGCGAAAGCGUGGGGAUCAAACAGGAUU